UUAUUAUGAAUAAAUAAUAUAAUAUUUAGGAGAAAACUGCUCCGAGAUUUCCUGCAACCUGGUUCCCUCCCAGUCAAGAUUGCACCAUACAGGGGCUCAGGGAACGAAGUUAGAUCAGGGUGUGGCUCCCCCUCCUUGGAAGAGAAUAUUGCUGAGAUGCACAGGUUCGUGAACAGAAGGAACUCCUGUCCCAUCACCCUCAAGGGGAAGGAGGAGGAGAAGGGAACGAAUGACUCCGGGAUUGGAUCUUCUCCAGACAGUUUUCCUGGUCCGGAGAAAAGUGAACUAAUGUUCCGAAUGGAAUUAUGAAAUCAAUGUAACAACAUUUUCGUAAAAAAAGACCAAGAGCUUUAAACAGUUAGACAAUAUUCUACCUUUUUUAUCAUUCUUUGCAUUUUUAGAUUUUAAAUAAAAUCAGAAGGACAAAACUUUUGUAUUGUGAAUCACAGGAUCAAGAGUGCUAAUCUUUUUUUACGUUCGAAGAAUUAAAUUCUUUUGUGGAAACUACUUAAAUUGAGGGACUAAGUACAAUAUCCUGACAUUUAUUAGUUAUCACAA